rnacentral:rRNA from 1 species
CCUACGGGUGGCUGCAGUGAGGAAUAUUGGUCAAUGGGCGCGAGCCUGAACCAGCCAAGUCGCGUGAAGGAUGACUGCCCUACGGGUUGUAAACUUCUUUUAUAAAGGAAUAAAGUGAGGCACGUGUGCCUUUUUGUAAGUACUUUAUGAAUAAGGAUCGGCUAACUCCGUGCCAGCAGCCGCGGUCAUACGGAGGAUGCAAGCGUUCACCGGAUUUAUUGGGGUUAAAGGGUGCGUAGGCGGAUUGAUAAGUUAGAGGUGAAAUGUCCGGGCUCCACUCGGGAACCGCCUCUAAUACUGUUGCUCUUGAGAGCAGGAAGGGUAGGCGGAAUGUAUGGUGUAGCGGUGAAAUGCAUAGAUAUCACACAGAACACCGAUCGCGAAGGCAGCUUACCAACGUGCAUCUGACGCUCAGGCACGAAAGCGUGGGUAGCGAACAGGAUUAGAUACCCGUGUAGUC